GGGAAAGAGGUCACCCCACCUGGGUUAUUUCUCUAAGAGCUUGAUCUUUUCAAAUUCUAAAGCUCUGCAAGUUUUGGGAAUUCAAGUUUCUACCCAUUCUUUGGGUAGAGGUUAAGAGGCAGUGUCUGGUUGACAUCGUGAGACCCUGGAGAAAGUCCCUCCACUCUCCGUGCCUUAGUUUCUUCAUCUUCAUCUGAGGUAUGGGGACAACAAUACCCACAUCUCCAGGGUGCCUGUCUGUAAUGGCACCUUUCACUUAGUCAGUGGCUCUGUGUGUUGACUCUCAUGAUCGAAGAUGGCACUUGCUUCUGAUUCCUGGGGAGGCCAACAAAACGAAAGUAUAUUCUAGUACGGUUGCAAUGGCCAUUCCACUGGCCAUGCCGUCUGCUGGAUUCUUUUAAUGCAAACCACCUCACUGAUAAGGAGAACUACCACGAAAACCACCCCUGAAAAUCAGGAAUGACACCUGUCCUAGAAAACACACCACCUGUACUAGGGAGCCCCACUCACACAGGCAAACAGCCCUUUUGGACGGGGUCGAACAGGAGACUGUAUAAGCUUGGGUCACUAAGAAGGCUGGUGAGUUGGGAGCCAUGUGCAUCUUCUUGAUAGGUGGUAAAAUCAAUCCUGAGUCAAGCAAAACCCUCCAGGAGUUCACCAGGCUUCCAGAUGUCCUCCACCUCCUAAUGGAAAGAGUUUUAACUUCUUCAAACGUAAAAUAGUGUGCUUCCUAAUUAUGUCAUUUUGAUGCACUGAAUCGCAAUUUCUGACUUAAACAGGCCCACACUGUGAUCCGGGACCACAGGAAUAGUUUCUUACUGGUGCAGAGGCAUGUUUUUCUGGUUUUGUUCCUUUUCUUUGUGGGGGAUACCCAACACCCUCAAUGUGAUUUUAAAUUCGACCAUCGAGGACUAGGUCUUGCCCAUCUCUACUCACGCCGGAGGGUAGCAGCGCUAUGAGGGACAGGAGUCUGGACCUCUCGGUACUUAAUAUUAUCCAUUUGUCAGGAUAUAAUGCUAGCCUAUUCCCCGUGAUAUCCCUUCUUUCCAAACCGACCUGGUUUCUUGCGGACAUAAUUCACAUCGUGGAAUUUGCGGACCUGUCUGGUACCCACCGUGGUACCGGGAGGUCUCCCUCAAUAGCCAACAGAGGAGAGAGAAUGAAUAGGCAGCUGAGGUUUUCCCAGCCUGCUGGUAGGGUGGGGGUGCCUGACAGGCGUUGGGGUACCCUGAUAGAGUGGAGAGAGGCUAAGGGCAGAGGACACUACUAGGAGUCCGGAGAUACUUGCGGUUGGCCUGGAGCGGGAACGGGAGCUGCUGCUCCUUCCCCAUGACAGGCGACCAACAGCCCUCGUUUGGAGAGCUGGAGCCAACAGGUUGCUCACCACCAGGAAGCAGGAAGCUGCCCCACUGCCAACAUUGUCCUGCUUCCCACCUCUGUUGACUACUGACAUUACGCCUUCUGUGAUGUCCAGCCCAGAUUAAAACUCUUUCUGGGUCCUAGGGAUUUCUCCUGCAUCGGACAGAUCACUUUAAACUGUAGAUCAUGCCUGCCUCCCCUCAUGAUGCACGGCUGGUCAACCUCGGCCCCAAGCCACUAGGCUCCGUACCCCCCCGCCACCGCCCCUUCCGCACAGGCAAUUUUAACAUGGAAGCUUCAUUACUUAUCACUCUGAAAGAAGGCGACAAUAGCUCAUGCUCUCGCUGUUGUAAAGCAAAAGGCUCCACCAUUACAUGCCUGUGUUGCUACCAUUGAUCACAGGGCCGCAACCAGAGGGAAGUAAAUAAACCAACCCGGGUUAGUUUAUGAUGCGUACUAUUGAGACGCAGGGCGGAAUAAAUAUUUUCCAAGUGUGGAAGUCAAGAAAAGGAAUUUUACUUUCAAACUUCGCAGUGUGCUAUAAACUACAGAGGGAAAAAAAUAGAAGACCCAUAAACUAUCUCUCACUUAACCACCAAAUCUACAUUAAAAUAUUAAUAUUCAGAAUGUGACAACGCCACAAAGAAAGGCAAUGAAAAAUGAAAUCGUAUCCAGUCUCCGUUCAUGUCGCCCAGAGGCACCUUAUUUUUUGCUGACGAGCACGAGAUAUGGACUCUGAGGCUGGGCCUUCCUGGCUCUCCCCUGUGCUUUGGUCGCCAACUCCCCCCUGGUGACACCAUUUCCUACUGGCCAGGAGUUCGCCAUUGGGGGUCUAGAGGCCUGAUCUGAUGCGGAGUCGCAGUUCUGACAGGUGCGUCUGGCCCCUUCGUCACUGUACCAUGUUCUGCCAUCUGCGUGAUGGGGUGAGUCUUGAUUCCUUACUCCCUUGGCCAAACCUGGGUUUCCAUAUACCUACAAUGUAGAGAGCUUCUAAGGUCCAGAGGGUCACGGUCAGGCUGUCUCAGCUGCGCUCACAGAGGCAGGUACGUGUGUAGUUGACCUUCACAGGUUUUACCGACACCCUAUAUCAAGGUCACCUGCAAAAGUAACGUGAGAAAUGGUGGCCAACUGCAUGUCAGCAUUUCUUUCCUUACAACCUUCUCUCAAGGGCUUUGCUCUUUUGCCCAGGAAAAAUGUAACCUCAGGCAUAGAUAAUCUUUAGGACCCUGGAAAUCCUCUCCUCCCUGUCUACUAAUACACGUGGGUCUAACAAAGCUUUUGUGCUUUCGUUUUAGCUGCAUAUGGUACUGGGCUGAUGGUCCUGAUAUUUAUUUGCAGAAAUUCUUGUUGGGCAAGAACACAACAUUUCCUUCUUCUGUUUCAGUGACUCAGACAGUUGCUGGGGUACUGACUAUGUGCGCAGCCAGGACUGCAAAGAACUCCCUUGGUUUAGCUUCCCUGAAAGCAUUCCUGUUGAUGAAUGUUUCUGAUUUUCACCCUUAUUCUGGUCUUAGCGGUUCUCCCUGCCCCUUGCAUACCGUCAGCACGGAGUGGAAAACUCUGACGUGGCCUCAUGAAUCAAACGGGCAGACUUUGGGAAUGGUCAUGGGCUGUACAAACGCUGUACAACUGCUGUGAUCACAUCCUGCUGUGACUGAGGGGAAGUUUGGCUUGGAAAGAACUUGUUGCACAGAUACAUGUGGCCUCAGCAGGAUGGAUCCUUAAUGGAGGAGACAGAUUCCAGAUUCAGGCCCGCUGGAGCAGGGCUUAAAUCCUCCGAAUUCGGAUGGACGGAUACUGGGCCUACUUCAGCAUCACUGAGAAGUCAGUGACCCACACCCCGCGAGCGCGUGGUCGACAGAGCCGGAACUCCUGUCCCAAAUGCUCCUUCCAGGUGCCCCUCUGAGGAAGAGCUGACAGAUGAGGUGCGACGUGGAUGGACAUCUGGCCUCGUGAGCCUCUUAAUCUCGACAAAGCCCGCUACAUGCACCAUGCUGGACGGCACCUACACACGCAGAGCGGCCUGGGCCGGGGAAGGAGCCACGGCGAGAGGGAUGGCAGUUCGGGAGAGCAUCAGGACAGAACCAAGGAAGGGCAAGAGGCUCCGGGGGGCGGAGGGGACUCAGAAGUGGAAAAUGCGCAGGAGGCCGGGGAAGGACAAGGCCCGAGAAAGGACGGACGGCGGGUAAAGCGGCAGGUCUCCAGGGAACGGCCAGAGAUGCUGGACCACGGACGAGCGAGUGAGUGGGUGAUGGGGCAAGAGCACAGAGGUGGGACCUACGGACGACGGUGCGAGGAGCCACGGAAAAGCCUGAGACACACAGGGCCGGAGUCCGACUUCAGUGGUCUGUGGUGGUAGUGGUCUGUGGUGGACAGUGGUCUGUGGUGGAGGGCAGGAACGUGGUCCUCACCCUUCCGACUGCCGUCUACAAUCUACUCUGCCCGGAGGCUCUCUCUCCCUACAGGAUACCCCCGCCUGGGGACAGUGUACGCCGACGCAAAUAUACACGUAUUUCUUCAUAAAGAGAAGCAGCCAUUCACGCCAGAUCAGCAGUAAAUGAUCGCAGUGUCCCGUAUUUUGCAUUCACAGACCAUUUUGUCCACGAAAGCCAAUGGAAGCACGAGGAGAAAGAGACCCAGAAAGCAUCGUGGUACUUGGAAAACGUGGCUGCAAGUCCUUCCCGUCAAGAUGUGGAGGCUACCCCCCACCCGCCCUGAAUUUGGCGAACUCGUGAGAGCUUUGAUUGGGGGGCAGAAGUGGUACCAUUUCCAAGGCGAGGCGAGAAGAGGCCUUGCUGCUUCUGCCUCUCAGGAAGCUCCCCCCCAACCCAGCUGCCAUUUUGAAAUGGCCAAGCCACAGGGGAAGGACUCGUGGAGGUCCCCCCACGGAGGGUCCCAGCCAAGCUCGGCCCGGAGUCAUCCCCACCCAGGCUCGGGACAUGGGAGGGAAGUGCUCUCUGGAUUAUUCUAGCCCCUGGAAUUCAGAUUCGAGUCACCCGGACACCCUGGAGCAGAGACGAGCCAUCCCGGCUGUGCCCUGGCCCAAUUCCUGACCCACUGAACCGCCCCCGCCCAUCAGGCUGGGGGAACAUCCCCGCAGGGGAGAGGCGAGCCGUCCAACCCAAGGACCUGCGGAAGAGGCACCCCGGAUCGCAGGCAACGCGGUCCGGCAGAAGGGCGUGCGCCCUGGAGUGCGGCGGGCCGGGUUCAAAUCCCAGCCCCACGUGGAGGUCACAGGUAGAUUGAAUAAGAUCUUUAGUCUCUGCGCGUCAGAACCCUGCCUGUGGGAUUCGGCUCAUGGCUUCUGCUGGCUGCAGAGAGUAAAUAAUCUUUAUCUACUGCGCAGGUGGGCAUAAAGUCAGCACCCAAUCCAGUAUUUCCGGUGGGAACACUACCACUGCUGUUUCUGCUCGGGUCUCCCUCGGAGAUGCUGAACAGGGAAGCAGGAGGAAAUAAAGGGUGCACCCCGUUCCUCAAGAGGUCACGCACGUAGAAGGGAUUCGAGAACUACACGGCAGCGCUCACAGGGACCGCCAAGGAGAACCCCAUAAAAAAUGGCGCCACAUGACUCUGGAAAACUCAGACUCUCAUGCUGGUUGCUCCCAACCCACGCUCAAGAUCUCGGACACACGGCCACCCCUGCCUCUGUUUCCGUACUCCGGAAGGAGAUUCUGAACUCUGUCCCUGAGGCAUUUGCAAACGGGAGCGCACGUGUGCUGUCUGUUUGCUUGUUUGUUUCAAGGGGUGGGGGAGUCACGGAACCACAUCGGUCUUAGGAUCCCCGUGGGUGAACCAAGUCCGUCUGCCUGGCUGGCAGAGUAAAAGAAACGGGGUAUUUUCGACCACAUGUCAUGAGUCAACACCUGCAUUGGGAGCGGUCACCCACAGCAGCUUUUUUUAUCUUUUCAUACAGAGACGGACAGAGAAGGGAAGACGCAAAGGCCUCCAGCCUUACCUCCGAGCUAAUGGGCAUGAAUGAGCCAGGCGCUCGGGCUUCUCUGCAGAGGGCACGCCCGCAGAUUCUGGGGUCGCUGAGCCUGAAAACGAUCCCGAGAAGUCCUCCCCAGGAGUACGCCUCUCUGAGACCGGCCUCUGGGUUAUAUGCCUCAGCCCCCGCCGCGCCCCCACCAGGUGCGACAAUACGAAACACCAGAGUGCUCUCUCCACGGCCUCUGCCGCAUUGAUUCCACCUGCUGGGGCCGUUAUUAGAUAAACAUGCUUCGUGCUGCCACGAGAGGGUCACAACACAAAGGACUGGGGAAGAGGAAGGAAAAUGAGGAGUCUAUGGAGUCACUGGCACCCACUUCUUAGGGACAAGGUGUUGUUCUGUGAAGAACGGGCACUUCCCGGGACACCUGCCGUCCCUUUCUCUGCUCUCCUCCUCCUGUUUCUGCAACCGAAUCCUUGGUUGCUGGUGUGUCUGCAUGGCUGAUGGAGAAGGAAGGAAACAGAGGUAGCACCACAGUCUGCCCUCUGCUGCGGUUAACGAAGACCACGUGAGACAGGACAGAACGGGGAGAGGAGACGAUCCGUGCUCAGGUGAAAGUUCUUCUGCACUCCAGCAACAGGGGACACAACCUGCUUCCCUCCUCCUCCUCCACCUCCCUCACCCAUCCCUCUGGCACUGUGCCACCUGGAUCGUCAUGGGCCCCACAGAAGAAGGAGUCCCCGCACAGGGGUGGAAACACAACGGAGGAAAAUCCCUGGAGGAAAAGACAACAGACUUUUGGUUUUAGCAAGAAUGAACUAGAAAGUCUCCAAACCAGCGACUUGGAGAAACGUGAUCUUUAGGUAACUGCUCCACAUUUGCUAAGACUUCAUAGUUCCCGGGAAGACAGAUCAACGGGAUGAAUGACCAAGCCACCCGCAGGCCAUGUCCACUGCGGGGGUACAACGGAGAUUCACAUGGGGCCAUGCUGGGCUCCCCCAACAAGACCUAGGAGUCCAGAGCCCUGGUCUGCAUUCCGACCAUGCCGAUUGCUUCUGCGCUCUGGGCCUGUUGUGAUGCUCGUCCUUCUCAGGAUUUGUGGGAUGAAGGUGAAGCUGAAAAGCACUCCAUCAACUCCAAAAGGAGUUCUGGAGUAUAUUUAUAUGUAUAUAAAUGGGUAUACGUUUGGUAUACAUUUAAAUGUUGAAACACUGGGUGUUACUGUUCCAAAAAAGUUUCCAGAACU